rnacentral:rRNA from 1 species
GACGAACGCUGGCGGCGUGCCUAAUACAUGCAAGUUGAGCGCUGAAGGUUGGUACUUGUACCAACUGGAUGAGCAGCGAACGGGUGGGUAACGCGUGGGGAAUCUGCCUUUGAGCGGGGGACAACAUUUGGAAACGAAUGCUAAUACCGCAUAAAAACUUUAAACACAAGUUUUAAGUUUGAAAGAUGCAAUUGCAUCACUCAAAGAUGAUCCCGCGUUGUAUUAGCUAGUCGGUGAGGUAAAGGCUCACCAAGGCGAUGAUACAUAGCCGACCUGAGAGGGUGAUCGGCCACAUUGGGACUGAGACACGGCCCAAACUCCUACGGGAGGCAGCAGUAGGGAAUCUUCGGCAAUGGACGAAAGUCUGACCGAGCAACGCCGCGUGAGUGAAGAAGGGUUUCGGAUCGUAAAACUCUGUUGGUAGAGAAGAACGUUGGUGAGAGUGGAAAGCUCAUCAAGUGACGGUAACUACCCAGAAAGGGACGGCUAACUACGUG